UCACUUACCUGGAUGGGGUCAAUGGGUGUUCAAGAAGGCUCCUAUCUUGCGUUAGUAACCUCCAUUGCACAUAGGAGGGGUGCUAUCCUAAGGUCGGCCCAAGUGGCCGAGCCUUAGGUUUGUUAUAC
rnacentral:snRNA from 1 species